GACGAACGCUGGCGGCGUGCUUAACACAUGCAAGUCGAGCGGUAAGGCCCUUUCGGGGGUACGACGAGCGGCGAACGGGUGAGUAACACGUGGGUGACCUGCCCUUACGCUCUGGGAGUAAGCCUCGGGAAACGUGGGUCUAAUACCGGAUAUGACUCCAUGACGCAUGUUGUGGGGUGGAAAGCCUUGUGCGGCUAGGGAUGGGCCCGCGGCCGUAUCAGCUUGUUGGUGGGGUGAUGGCCUACC
rnacentral:rRNA from 1 species